UGGGGAAUCUUGCACAAUGGGGGAAACCCUGAUGCAGCGACGCCGCGUGAGCGAUGAAGGUUUUCGAAUCGUAAAGCUCUGUCCUAUGGGAAGAUAAUGACGGUACCAUGGGAGGAAGCCCCGGCUAACUACGUGCCAGCAGCCGCGGUAAUACGUAGGGGGCGAGCGUUGUCCGGAAUUACUGGGCGUAAAGGGUUCGCAGGCGGCAUGGCAAGUCAGAUGUAAAAGGCGAAGGCUCAACCUUCGUAAGCAUCGGAAACUGUCAAGCUUGAGUGAAGGAGAGGCAAGUGGAAUUCCUAGUGUAGCGGUGGAAUGCGUAGAUAUUAGGAGGAAUACCGGUGGCGAAGGCGACUUGCUGGACUUCAACUGACGCUGAGGAACGAAAGCGUGGGUAGCAAACAGG
rnacentral:rRNA from 1 species